UGCCAGUAUGAACAUCCAGGCCGGGUGUUGGGGUCUUUUAUCAGGUCGGAUCACAAGGUAGCCUGAUCGGCUUGUGCACACGUCUCUGAUUGGCUGCAGGUGAGGUAAGAAGUUUAGGGUCUAUGGCUCUGGUAAGGUGGAGGUGUGGGCUGAAACAAGCCAGCCGGAGCUGUUGUGAGGUUGGGCAUGACCUGAGGCUGCCAGUUCGUUGGGGAAACACGCCCAGGAAAGAACGUACUUUAUCUGUUGAGGGAUUGCAGGCGGACGUCUGAGAGCCCAUGAAUGGGGGGUCGUUG